CCUAACUAUAAGAUUUGUCAAAAAGGAAGGUUUUAAGCCUGGUCUUAAAAAUAGAGAGCGUGUCUGCCUCCCAAACCCAAACUAGGAGCUGGUUCCACAGGAGAGGAGCCUGAUAACUGAAGGCUCUGCCUCCCAUUCUACUUUUAGAAAUUCUGGGAACCACAAAUAAGCCUGCAGUCUGAGAGUGAAGAUGUUAGGCUGGCUGCUGCCAGGCCCAGAUAGUGCUCCUCCCUCUCUCCGCCUUGUUUUCCUUCUCAGGUUGGAUCAGCGGCAGCAGCAGGUGUUCCUCAUCUGUGAUCAUCAUCAGCUGGUCCAGGAGCAGCUGAGGAGCUGCCAAUCAAGCCCUUCAUCACUACAGUAUAAGCAGACGCCACUCACCUCUCAGUGGCGGAUUGUGACAUAGCCAGUAACCACAUACUGCUUGUUCCUCAAGCCUCAGUUUCUUCUGGAGACUCUUUAGUAAUCCUGUUUGUCCUCCUUCGUUCGUUUCAGUUUGGGUCCAACUGCUUCUGCUUCGUUCCCUCUGUGUUCCGCCUCCACCUCCAGUUCCAGUUCCGAGCCUGGAUUCUCUCACCUGAGCUGUUUUCCUCACACCUGGCGUCCAUCUUCAGUAACCUGCCAUUCUUCAUCUGAGCUCCAAGCGAGCAGCCAAGAACUACCUGCCAGACACGCUAGAUCCCAGUCCGAGCAUCUCGCUUAUGUUUCUUCGUGAGUUACAGUUUAGUUUAGUUGUUUAUUCUUCCUAGUGUUAUUGUUUGGUACAUUUGUAGAAUCAGCAGUUUCAGUGAUUUUUCUGAGCUUAACGUGAUUAGCUUCGCUUUGAGUUUUGUGUGGGUUCUGUUAUCAUAAUAUUUAGAGUUUGAACUUUAUUGCCUGGGUGUUACCCACCGUGAGUCAGUGCUAGUUUGUUGGUCAUCCUCGCCUCUAGUGGUCACUCGUACUUACCUGAGCUUAAUGAUUUGUUUCUGCCUCGAGUGUUUCCUGUUGUAGUUCCUACACUGUAACAAAUUGCAGUAAAAAUACUGCAUAUUUUGUACAGUAAUAUCCGUUCUUUGUAAAUACAGCUGAAUGCUGUAAAUAUAUACGUUUUUAAAGAACAAAAUAUUAACAACAAGCUACUGUACAAUCUUACAGCAGAUUACAGUAUUUUUCUGGUUUGGGUUGAUUUGAGUGUGACUGUUGCUGCAGUCCGACCGUUACUCGUCUCGGCAAAUCUUCCUGCACAUCACCACAUUUAGCAAACAGUCAACACAAAGAAGUGACUAAAUAGGUUUAAAAGAGUAUGUAUCAGUGAUUUUACUCAUUACUGGGGGAAGACCUGGGAGAAAAGGAAGAACUGAGGACGACAAUUUUCGGCCCUCAGACCUGCAGGGAUCACCUGUAGCUGAUCCAUCCUGCUCCGGUGGUUCACUUAACAAGGGUCUUUCUUGGUAUCAACCCUGAGAGGGGAACAAAGGCCAGUCAGGAGAAGGUGAUGUUCAAGAGGUCAGGAAGCUGCUCCAGAAGAAGACAUCUACUGUAAAUCCCCAUGUAGUCACCUUUAUAAAAAGACUCAUGGACUCUGAGUGGGACUUCAUGUAAACCCACAGCACCUGUCCACACAGAACCUCAUUUUGACAAAGCAAAAGCCCCGUCUGCAACCAGAUGUUCAUGUUGUCAUUCUAAGGUAGCAAGUCUCAGUAUUGUGUUGGGUUCAGUAUAAAAUACUUCAGUUCCAAGUUUGUUCCAUGACUUGGUGUUUAUUGAACAUGAUCAAGAGUUAUGAAAGACUGAUUCUGAAGGCCUGAAAUGUGAUAUGCAAUUUUUAAACAGAUUGUUGACAACCUGUUAAACAUCAUUAAUUGUUUUUAUAGAUUUUAUUUUACAAGACUUGAAUUACUUGAAAUUUGUUAGUUGCUGAAUGUGUUCAACCCAAACUCAGUGUACCUGAAGUAGAACAUGCAGAAUGGGAACCUGUUCAGCAUGAGGAAAUGAUUGUAUGUUACUAAAACUGAAUGGGUUAUAUAGGUCAGUUUCUGAACCAUGUUUGAUACAGAGUUGGCCUUAAUAAAAGCUUAAUGUUGAAAAGUCA